rnacentral:rRNA from 1 species
UACAGAGGGUGCGAGCGUUAAUCGGAAUUACUGGGCGUAAAGCGUGCGCAGGCGGUUUUGUAAGCCAGAUGUGAAAGCCCCGGGCUUAACCUGGGAAUGGCAUUUGGGACUGCAAGGCUUGAGUGCGGCAGAGGAGACUGGAAUUCCUGGUGUAGCAGUGAAAUGCGUAGAUAUCAGGAGGAAUACCGAUGGCGAAGGCAGGUCUCUGGGCUGACACGUGACGCUCAUGCACGAAAGCGUGGGGAGCAAACAGG